rnacentral:rRNA from 1 species
GACGAACGCUGGCGGCGUGCUUAACACAUGCAAGUCGAACGAUGAAGUUCCUUCGGGAAUGGAUUAAUGGCGAACGGGUGAGGAACACGUGAGAAACCUGCCUUUCAUUUUGGGAUAACUCCGGGAAACCGGGGCUAAAACCGAAUACUCCGUCUCGGCGGCAUCGCUGAGCCGGGAAAAAAUUUUGAUGAAAGAUGGUCUCGCGGCCUAUCAGCUAGUUGGUGAGGUAAUGGCUCACCAAGGCAACGACGGGUAGCCGGCCUGAGAGGGCGACCGGCCACACUGGGACUGAGACACGGCCCAGACUCCUACGGGAGGCAGCAGUGGGGAAUAUUGGGCAAUGGGCGCAAGCCUGACCCAACGACGCCGCGUGAGGGAUGAAGGCCUUCGGGUUGUAAACCUCUUUCAGUAGGGAAGAAGCGAAAGUGACGGUACCUAAAGAAGAAGCACCGGCUAACUGUGUGCCAGCCGCCGCAGUAA